GACAGUGUGGUUAAGUGGUUACAGCAUCAGACUAGGAGCUGGGGAACCAGGGUUCAAAUCCCUACACAGCCA